rnacentral:tRNA from 1 species
UGGGGUGUAGCUCAAUCGGCAGAGCGCCCGGCUGUUAACCGGGAGGUUGGUGGUUCGACUCCACCCGCCCCAG